AUGCAUUGGUCUGAGAAGCCUAUCAGCUGGAGCCGGGCCGAUCACCCAGAGGUGAUGCCGUCUCCCGGCUCUUACGCGUUGGUAUUGGACGCCACCCUCGCGACAGAAAGGCGAGCUGCCCGCUUCUCCCGAGUACUGAUUGACGGAGGGAGCAGCAUCAACAUACUGUACCGUGACACCAUGGAGAAGCUGAACAUCAAGACGAAGCAACUCAUGCCAAGCCAGACUGUGUUCCAUGGCAUCGUACCCGGCCUGUCCUGCUCACCAAUCGGCAAGAUCAAGAUAGAUGUUCUCUUCGGAGACAAGGAUCACUUCCGCCGAGAAGUAGUCUGGUUUGAAGUGGUGGAUCUAGAGAGCCCUUACCAUGCGUUGCUUGGCCGACCUGCCUUGGCCAAGUUCAUGGCUGUGCCCCACUACGCCUACCUCAAGAUGAAGAUGCCUAGUUCGAAGGGAAUCAUCACCAUAGCCGGAGACUACAAGAAAUCCUCCGAGUGUGCUGCGACCAGCAGCCGGCUGGCCGAGUCCCUCGUGAUUGCCGAAGAAAAGAAGAUGCUGGACCGAGUCGUGGCCAUGGCCAGCAAGCAGUCGGCCCUGUCCCCUGACCCCAAGGAGUAUGAUGCUCAAGGCUCCUUCCAGCCGGCCAAGGAAACAAAGAAGAUACUUCUGGACCCAGAGAACCCGGAGAGGUUUGCCGUCAUAGGUGCGAACCUUGAUGGCAAAUAG
rnacentral:rRNA from 1 species